UAGACUAAGGCCCGCUGGAUUAGGCGCCUAGUUGUUAACUAUAGUUUUACGGGAUCGAGGCCCGUUAGUCUAGG
rnacentral:tRNA from 1 species